rnacentral:rRNA from 1 species
AGUGAACGCUGGCGGUAGGCCUAACACAUGCAAGUCGAACGGCAGCACAGUAAGAGCUUGCUCUUACGGGUGGCGAGUGGCGGACGGGUGAGGAAUACAUCGGAAUCUACUUUUUCGUGGGGGAUAACGUAGGGAAACUUACGCUAAUACCGCAUACGACCUACGGGUGAAAGCAGGGGAUCUUCGGACCUUGCGCGAUUGAAUGAGCCGAUGUCGGAUUAGCUAGUUGGCGGGGUAAAGGCCCACCAAGGCGACGAUCCGUAGCUGGUCUGAGAGGAUGAUCAGCCCCAAUGGAACUGAGACACGGUCCAGACUCCUACGGGAGGCAGCAGUGGGGAAUAUUGGACAAUGGGCGCAAGCCUGAUCCAGCCAUACCGCGUGGGUGAAGAAGGCCUUCGGGUUGUAAAGCCCUUUUGUUGGGAAAGAAAAGCAGCAGGUUAAUACCCCGCUGUUCUGACGGUACCCAAAGAAUAAGCACCGGCUAACUUCGUG